GUUUCGGCAGAGCCUGCCGAUGCGUGAAACCCCGUGAAACUGUUCGACAGCGUGUCUAACCUCUGACUUGGAAACGUCUCACAACUGGGAAUCCUUCAUCUUUGUGUGCAGGCUACCAAAGAAAAGCGGCCAGAGACAGUGAGAGUCGAUGCAUGCUGGUGGCACUCGAUCGCCUGGAAGUCGCAUAAUUGGAAGAGUCCCCAGGACCACAUGAGGUCCCACCACAGCCUGUGGCUCAGUCAAUCAUGAUACAUGAUACCAUAUGGCGAAGACAUUCGGGCAUUCGUGCCUGCUAUGGCAAGAAAGUGUUGCAUCAUAGUAAAACGCACAACAGUAGUGCUAAUAAGAAUUUUGUGGAAAGGCAGGGGGUCUCUGAGAGGCGUGUACACCAAAGAUUCUGCCAACGAAUGAGCCGCCCGACAUUGCCAACUUUUGUCGAUGCCGGUGAGGUUCGCUGAUGUAGCACUCUCCUCUUGAAACUAGGUGGUAUCCUAAAGCAACCCAAUAAGGGACUCAGUUGGCGUCGAUCCAACCGGUGCCAGCAUUCCCGUUAUAAUUCGGUCAAAUGCAUCAACAAUUAUAAAUGAUUCACACUUCCAGUUGCUUUGGUUGGUGUGGGGGCAUCUGUAGGUAUUUUCUGAGGCCAGCGUGCCCGAACCCUGUGCACGAAGAGCAACAGUUUUGCUCCCGCCUCUCGCGUAUACCCCCUGCUUCACCGCGUAGUAAAGGAGUUUUAGUGUUGCUCUGAAUGUGCCGCAUAGGCACUGUCGAGGGAGCAUCUGCGUGCCCUUCGUAUUUGGAGCCUGAUGUGUGGAAGAGCGGAAACCCCUUAAGCACUUUCAUGACCAUGUUCGAUUCCACUGUGACGUGAUGCGCUCUGCCUGUCCUUUAGACCCGGAAAACGAAAGUGCGUUCUCAAGUGGCUUCGCGUCCACGCGCGGUGCUGGCUCCUGCGCGAUGGGCAGUGUCCUGCUCCCAUUAGCUUUGGUCGGCUCCUGCUCAUAAUAGCAGCAGUUACGCGCCGCCUCAGCCUUCGCUAUCGAUCGAGACGAUGCCGAGUGCUGAUGUUGGAAGCAGAGACUGACAUGCGAGCGGCACGUGGCUGCUGGCCUAGCAACGGUUGCCAUCGUUAUAACGGUUGUGAGUUUGCAUUUCGCAUGGGGGAGCGAUCUAAGUAGCCAUCUCUUGAAAAGGCGACCGAAUGACUGUAGUUAGCUCAAAAGCGAUAGACACAUUUGUCGAUUUCUGCAGCGGCAUCGAAUCGGCGUCCUCAUUCGGUGUCGUCGCUGAGUUUUCCUUACGUUUUUUCUAGGUUGUAAGCUUAGUGUAGUUCAGGAUAACGGCACUGCAGCUCUGCCUGGUGUCUCGUCGUUAUCGUCGUGUGAUCACCGCGAAGUCCAUCACUUGCACUGCACAAAAGCGUGCUUUCUACACAGCAUCAAGCCUUCGUUCCUCUAUGGGUCACCACAAGAGCUACUUGCUCAUUCGAUGGUGGGAGUUGCCUCUUUGUGCUACUGCAGUACCUGAUUACCGUAAGCGUCAGAUAUGGACGGAUGGACCUCUUUGACUCCUAUGGCCUAGAACUCUGUUUCCAAGGAGGGGGUAUCAUCAAGAUCCCCGUCCGCCAGAUAUGGAACACAGGGACCGCCGUACAGUGAUAAUCUGUUGGUUCUGCAGCAUCACUGGUCAAAAACGGUUUCAACGUAGAGAACUGAGCACAGGAAGAAGAUUCGCUGAGGCGGUCAUGGCGUUUGAGUGGCAGGUCUUCAUGCCGUACCACCUACCUUUUCGAGUAUCCCGUGUCAGACUUGGAUAUGCAACUACCGUCCCUUUGGUGCUUCUAUGUACUCUCCCGGAGCCUUGUGCACAGACCAUCAUCGACGGUAUCUGAAUGCCUCCGCGGCUCCAUCCCAACCCUUCUAACAGUGUGACAGCACCACAAAACAAAACAGCACUUCGCAUCCCUGCAAAGUCUUACCGUUCAUUAUCUACUAAAAUACCACUCGUUUGUCCAGGUGUAUCACCAGAGGAAGACAUGCGUAGCGACAUUAACUUCCAGGCUAAACAUCCCUUUUCUUUGAAACACACUUCCCGUGUCGCCGCUAGCAUGUCACAGUAUAGAG
rnacentral:lncRNA from 1 species